CGUGGGUAACCUGCCCAAGAGAUCGGGAUAACACCUGGAAACAGAUGCUAAUACCGGAUAACAACAGAUGAUGCCUAUCAACUGUUUAAAAGAUGGUUCUGCUAUCACUCUUGGAUGGACCUGCGGUGCAUUAGCUAGUUGGUAGGGUAACGGCCUACCAAGGCGAUGAUGCGUAGCCGAGUUGAGAGACUGAUCGGCCACAUUGGGACUGAGACACGGCCCAAACUCCUACGGGAGGCAGCAGCG
rnacentral:rRNA from 1 species